rnacentral:misc_RNA from 1 species
UCCGGUUUGUCGCCGGCAGUCCCCCUAGAGUUCCCACCAUAACGUGCUGGCAACUAGGGACAGGGGUUGCGCUCGUUGCGCCACUUAAGGCAACACUUCACGGCACGAGCUGACGACAGCCAUGCACCACCUGUGCGGGCUCCGAGGAGCGCCGUAUUUCUACGGUUUCACCCCGCAUGUCAAGCCCAGGUAAGGUUCUUCGCGUUGCUUCGAAUUAAGCCACAUGCUCCGCCGCUUGUGCGGGCCCCCGUCAAUUCCUUUGAGUUUUAGCCUUGCGGCCGUACUCCCCAGGCGGGGUGCUUAAUGCGUUAGCUUCGGCACGGACGGGGUCGAUUCCGUCUACAGCAAGUGAGCACCGUUUACAGCUAGGACUAC